rnacentral:rRNA from 1 species
UACAGAGGGUGCAAGCGUUAAUCGGAAUUACUGGGCGUAAAGCGUGCGUAGACGGUUAUGUAAGUCAGAUGUGAAAGCCCCGGGCUUAACCUGGGAAUGGCAUUUGAGACUGCAUAGCUAGGGUGCGGAAGAGGGAAGCGGAAUUUCCGGUGUAGCGGUGAAAUGCGUAGAUAUCGGAAGGAACACCAGUGGCGAAAGCGGCUUCCUGUCCAGC